rnacentral:rRNA from 1 species
GAUGAACGCUGGCGGCGUGCCUAAUACAUGCAAGUCGAGCGAACAGACGAGGAGCUUGCUCCUCUGACGUUAGCGGCGGACGGGUGAGUAACACGUGGAUAACCUACCUAUAAGACUGGGAUAACUUCGGGAAACCGGAGCUAAUACCGGAUAAUAUAUUGAACCGCAUGGUUCAAUAGUGAAAGACGGUUUUGCUGUCACUUAUAGAUGGAUCCGCGCCGCAUUAGCUAGUUGGUAAGGUAACGGCUUACCAAGGCAACGAUGCGUAGCCGACCUGAGAGGGGGAUAGGCGACACUGGAACUGAGACGCGGUCCAGACUCCUACGGGAGGCAGCAGUAGGGAAUCUUACGCAAUGGGCGAAAGCCUGACGGAGCAACGCCGCGUGAGUGAUGAAGGUCUUCGGAUCGUAAAACUCUGUUAUUAGGGAAGAACAAAUGUGUAAGUAACUAUGCACGUCUUGACGGUACCUAAUCAGAAAGCCACGGCUAACUACGUG